CAGCCGCCACGGUAAUACGGAGGGUGCAAGCGUUAUCCGGAUUCACUGGGUUUAAAGGGUGCGUAGGCGGAUCUGUAAGUCAGUGGUGAAAUCUCCAGGCUUAACCUGGAAACUGCCGUUGAUACUAUAGGUCUUGAAUUUUGUGGAGGUUAGCGGAAUAUGUCAUGUAGCGGUGAAAUGCAUAGAUAUGACAUAGAACACCAAUUGCGAAGGCAGCUGGCUACACAACUAUUGACGCUGAGGCACGAAAGCGUGGGGAUCAAACAGGAUUAGAUACCCAGUAGUCCCUGUCUCUUAUACC
rnacentral:rRNA from 1 species